GCCUGAUGCAGCGACGCCGCGUGAGGGAUGACGGCCUUCGGGUUGUAAACCUCUUUCAGCAGGGAAGAAGCGAAAGUGACGGUACCUGCAGAAGAAGCGCCGGCUAACUACGUGCCAGCAGCCGCGGUAAUACGUAGGGCGCAAGCGUUGUCCGGAAUUAUUGGGCGUAAAGAGCUCGUAGGCGGCUUGUCACGUCGGAUGUGAAAGCCCGAGGCUUAACCUCGGGUCUGCAUUCGAUACGGGCUAGCUAGAGUGUGGUAGGGGAGAUCGGAAUUCCUGGUGUAGCGGUGAAAUGCGCAGAUAUCAGGAGGAACACCGGUGGCGAAGGCGGAUCUCUGGGCCAUUACUGACGCUGAGGAGCGAAAGCGUGGGGAGCGAACAGGAUUAGAUACCCUGGUAGUCCACGCCGUAAACGUUGGGAACUAGGUGUUGGCGACAUUCCACGUCGUCGGUGCCGCAGCUAACGCAUUAAGUUCCCCGCCUGGGGAGUACGGCCGCAAGGCUAAAACUCAAAGGAAUUGACGGGGGCCCGCACAAGCAGCGGAGCAUGUGGCUUAAUUCGACGCAACGCGAAGAACCUUACCAAGGCUUGACAUAUACCGGAAAGCAUUAGAGAUAGUGCCCCCCUUGUG
rnacentral:rRNA from 1 species